GGUUUGAUCCUGGCUCAGAUUCAGGCACUGGCGGGAUGCGCUUUUACACAUGCAAAAUCGAACGGCAGCACGGACUUCGGUCUGGUGGCGAGUGGCGAACGGGUGAGUAAUGUAUCGGAACGUGCCUAGUGGCGAGGGGGAUAACUACGCGAAGGCGUAGCUAAUACGCAUACGCCCUUCGGGGAAAGCGGGGGACCUUCGGGCCUCGCCCUUCAAUAGAGCGGCCGAUAUCGAGUUAGCUAGUUGGUGGGAGUAACGGCUCACCAAGGCGACGAUCCGUAGCUGGUUUGAGAGGACGACCAGCCACACUGGGACUGAUUUUACGGCCCAGACUCCUACGGGAGGCAGCAGUGGGGAAUUUUGGACAAUGGAAACCCUGAUCCCAGCCAUCCCGCGUGUGCGAUGAAGGCCUUCGGGUUGUAAAGCACUUUUGGCAGGAAAGAAACGGCACGGGAUAAUACCCCGUGCAACUGACGGCCUGCAGAAUAAGCGCCGGCUAACUACGUGCCAGCAGCCGCGGUAAUACGUAGUUAGCCGGUGCUUAUUCUGCAGGUACCCAAAUCAGUUGCACGGGAGUAUUAUCCCGUGCCGUUUCUUUUGCCACUGCCAAAAGUGCUUUUCACCCCGAGCCUUCAUCGCACACCUGGAUGGCGCUGGAUCAGGGUUUCCCCAUUGUCCAAAAUUCCCGCCCUUGCCUCCAUUAUGUCUCAAUCCCAGUGUGGCUGAUCGUCUCUCAAACCAGCUACGAGAUCGUCGCCCUUGUGAGCUCUUACUGCACCAACUAGCUAAUCCCGAUAUCGUGCCGCUCUGUAGUGCCCGAGGCCCGAGGCUCCCCGCCUUCCCCAGCGUAUGCGAAGUGAUGAAAGUACCAGCGUAGUUAAAUCCCCGCCCGCCAGGCACGUUCGAUGCAUUACUCUUACGUUCGCCAGCUCGCCGCCCGGACGAGUCCAUGCUACGCCGUUCGACUGCAUGUUGUAGGCAUCCGUAACCGUCUGAGCCGGGAUCAAACCUGUUGUGAUGCUCCAGGGCUGGCUUA
rnacentral:misc_RNA from 1 species